AUUGAACGCUGGCGGCAGGCCUAACACAUGCAAGUCGAACGAGUGGCGGACGGGUGAGUAAUGUCUGGGAAACUGCCCGAUGGGGGGGGAUAACUACGGGAAACGGUAGCUAAUACCGCAUACCAUCGGAUGUGCCCAGUGGGGAUUAGCUAGUAGGUGGGGUAAUGGCUCACCUGGGCGACGAUCCCUAGCUGGUCUGAGAGGAUGACCAGCCACACUGGAACUGAGACACGGCCCAGACUCCUACGGGAGGCAGCAGUGGGGAAUAUUGCACAAUGGGCGCAAGCCUGAUGCAGCCAUGCCGCGUGUAUGAAGAAGGCCUUAGGGUUGUAAAGUACUUUCAGUGAGGAGGCGUUACUCGCAGAAGAAGCACCGGCUAACUCCGUGCCAGCAGCCGCGGUAAUAC
rnacentral:rRNA from 1 species